CAUAACCGAUUACAGUUGGUACAGUAGCCUUUCUGCAUCAAAAUCGGAUGAUUUACACCAUUUACCGGAUAUAUUUUUAUAUCAUUUCAGAAGUGACCAAUUAAUUGUGUGGUAUAUUUUCUUGCCUGGUGACAUCAUUGUUAAUGCUUGUUAAAUCAUAGUAUUUGGGAAGUAGCCAUUUAACGUCUAUGUUAUCGCCUUGUGUUUUAAUUCUUAAACUUAACCAGGAGUUUUUUAUUUAUUUUUGUUUAAACUGAAACGAAGAAUUGCCUUUUUGGUUUUAUGCUUCAGUCACUUGUGUUGCUGUUCUGUGUAAGCUAGCACUGCCGGGUAAAUAUGCAGUCACCAAAAAAGUCGAGGAGCGUAGCCUUGAAGGACAUGUAUUAAUGCUGCCUCGGCUAUGGAUGACGUAAGGAUGAAUAAAGCGUCCGCAGCCGGUAAAGAUGGGGAACAAAGUGAAGCCUCGAGUCCAGAGUUUCAAAGUCCUCCUGAUGUUGCCCCAUCUCCUGAGACCAGUGGACUGUUGUCAUUGCCAUGGGAGAUGGUAACCCACAUUGCCUCACACCUUCCGGCUCACUGUGUCAUCUCUGUGCUGCCAAAGGUCUGUUAUGCUUUGCGCAAUGUCGGGAAGGACAAUACUGCCUGGCAGCUGCGUGCACGCAGACUCAUUGGAUCAAAAGCUAUCUUUCCAGUGGGACCAAGGGAAGACUUCGAUUGGCCCAUUGCUUGCUUGGAGAUGGAGGAACUGAUUGCCUGCUGGACCGGAGUAGCACAGGUUGUGGCCAAAGAGCACCAAGCUAAUGUGGUAGACCCGGAAGGAGUGGGGCAGCAACGAAGGGCCUUGGAAGAUGGACCAGCAGCUGAGGGGCAAGAAGACAAUAGAGCGGCUGUUAUAGAGCCAGAGAGAGUGGAAGUGCAGGAGGAAGCAUAUGACGUUGAGGAAGGGUUGGCAUUUGAAGAAAUGGGUGGUGAACUGCACCCUGUUGUUGGUGAGGACCAAUUAGUGGAAUUGAGGGAAGUGCUGGAGGAGAGAUUAGAAGAUAAUCCAGAAGAAGUGCUGGAGGAAGAUGGGGAUCGCCCAGUUUUAUUUGAGGGCCAAGAUGAUGCUCCUGAUCAUCUACAGGACUUGGCUCACCUCGGGUUUCAGGGUAAUAGAGGACAUGUAGAAAUACAGCAUCAACCCACCAGAAGUCAGAGCCCACCCCCAGCGCUAGAGUGCCUUACCUUGCUUUCAGGCCACAUUGCCGAGAUCAACUCGGUCCUCUUAGUGGGGGGCGACGGGGAUGUUUGUGCCACGGGCUCCAGAGAUCGGGAUGUUAAACUUUGGAAUCUGCAGGCAGACUCUAGCAAUAUGCUGAUGCACACGUUGGUAGGCCAGGGCCACUUCAACUCCCAUCAGGGCUGGGUGUGGUGUUUGGCAUCUCAGGGACACCUUCUAGCUUCGGGGGGCUUUGACAGAACAGUGAGGUUGUGGGACCUCCAGGCUUGCGGGGCAGAGAGGGGAGUGAUCAGGACUGAAGCUGCCGUCAUCUGCUUGUCCUGUCUGCCAGAUGUGUUGCUGGCUGGUACAUUCAAUGAAAAAGUCCAAAUGUACGACCCUAGAGCUUCUGUUCCCUUGGUGAAAAGCCUCACACACCAUACCAAUUCUGUCCUGUGUCUGGCGGCAGACGACAAAUACAUCAUCUCUGCGAGUAAAGACAACACUGUGGUCGUCCACGAUCGCAGGGCAGACAGAAGGUUGUAUAAAGUUCGGCUGCGCUCUUACCUGCGAUCUAUGAGCUACGGUGACAAUGAGGUAUGGGGGGGAGACAUCAGGGGCAGACUCCGUUGUUUUUCCAUGCGACAGGGGGUCUUAAAGUACCUGUCGCGAUUCGAUGUUGGCCACACAGCUAUGGUCACUGGCAUUCACAAGUCACCUGGAAGCCUCUUCACGUGCUCCUCUGAUUUUACUGUCAAGGUAACAUGGGCCCUUAAUAUUCUGCUCAUGUAGUUAAUAUAUUGAUUUAUUUUAAUGUCCCUGUAAAGUGAAAAUGCCGUCUAAAUCUGGCACACCACAGAGAAGUGUUGUUAACAACCUUGACAAAUUUUGAUGAUUAAAAAAAAAAUAGCGAAGUACAUGAAAUGAGGCUUAAAAUGUCAUGAAAAAUCAAGCCAUUCUCUCUGCUCUCGAAUUAUGUGGGUGUGUCCGCUGAAUGUGCUGAAACCAAACCCUACUCAACUGUCAACUCUCAAUCUAAUGAAUUUGUUUUUUCACUUUUCGUACAAUGAUAUGCAUCUCAGUGCUACACAUAGUUAAAAUCAAUCCUCUCCCACCACUCAUCCAAACAUGCAUACAUACAUGCACACACAGUUAAAAAAGUAAGAUAAUAAUAAUGUAAUGACCUAUGGCUAGGCACAGAGAAACCAAGUGGGAGAUAUCUCAGUAAACUGUCUGCACUGAGAACAGACACCAGAUGGCGGGCACAGGGUACCAGCAUGGAGCUCUGGUAUAGUGACGUAGGGAAAGCCACAAAUGGCGAGUCAGGACCCGAUGGGGCAGGACCACGGUCACAAUCAAUUACAGCUCCCAGUGCAGAGAGCCCCCACUCAGGAAACACUGAAAGAUACUAAAAAUAAUCAUUCACGUAUAUUAAAAAAAAACCAAAAAACAUCUGCAUAAAACCCAGCGUUCAGUAGAAAAGCUAAGAGUGUAGGAAAUAGUAAUAAAACACUGAAAAUAAAGUUAAAAGGAUAAAACUGUUUAAAGUAUGCUAAAACAUGAAAUAUCAGUACCUUGCUAUUCCUCUUUUCUCUGUGUGACUUGCACACGCUCAAUCCAAUGGUUCACUCUUAAGUGGCCGUACCAGUGGACUAUCCGAAGGGAAGAUGUAUUUUCUGGAUGGAGGCAUGGCUAGCCAACGGUAUGCCGUGAAUGCAACGGAAAACCACUGCGAACGAAGGCAUUCAGUUAUUCUAUAGUGGGGGAGAUGGUCGACUCAUGCCGGAGUGGAGGUACACAUCCCUUGUGGGCCUCCAAAGACAUUAUGCACCCUGCGUCACCAAGACGGAGUCUCUGGGGUGAG